AAGAAGCCGAGUCGCCAUGAUUCUCCCACUCCAGACAGAUGCAGGUUAAGAUCUUCCCUGUGCUCUGUCUGAGGAACUGCUGGAUGAAGACCAAACCAGUACCUCAGGCAAGGUCCAGCCCGCAGUCCCACACCAACAAAGCCAAGAGUAAGGUUGAUACCUUCCCCACGUCUGGUCUAUCCCACCUCUAUGGUUUGUUCAUCAGGAGAAACCCAAAUGCACUUCUUCCUCUUGUCAUUCCACAAGUGAAUUACACGGGGCCAACUCCUGAUUGUGGCUGCUAGCUUUCACGCCUCACUGCAUCCACAAUUAGACAGUCACAGGAAGGAGA